rfam:Hordeum vulgare subsp. vulgare, WGS project CAJW01000000 data, contig: morex_contig_2552275
AUAAUACUCCCUCCGUCCCAAGAUUCUUGUCAUAGGUUUGCUAGAAAUGGAUAUAUCUAAAUACCGAAAUGUGACUAGAUACAUUCAUAUCUAGACAAACCAAAGACCAAAAUUUUGGGACGGAGGGAGUAUAUU